rnacentral:lncRNA from 1 species
UGCAGAACCAGUUCAUUUGUAUUUAUAACAAUUAUAUCUCGGGGUUUAUUUUUUCGUUCAAACAAUAGAUAUACGAAGAUGUGGUAUGAGUGCCAAUGAGACGACUCUCAAUCCAAGUAACAAUUUAUAAAAGUAAACCAUUAUAGGUCAAGGUACGGUCUUCAACGCGGAGCAUGUGCUCACACCAAACAGCAAGCUAUAAAGGGCCCCA